UAUUAUAUUACACUACAAAAAAUUAUUUAUACGUGUGGUCCUGAUCAAGAUACAUUUACAUACCCUAAGGCAUUCAGACCAAGACUUAUAUCCCCUGUUGUUAUAUAUACGGUUAAUAUAAAUGCACACACAGGGGUUUCUCAUUGGCUAUGAAUUUGUUAUCCAAGUUCGUGCAGUUAUGAGGUUGCAAGGGAAGUUGUGAAGGAAAGCAAAAUAUUCACUCAUGUAUGACUUAUCAAAUUAGUACCCAUUCAAAAACCUGUCUUCAUUGAGCAUGUGCUUCUGUCCUGACUUGUAAUUUGUUUGUAUGUUAAGCUUCUCAGGUGAUUCUUGGAUAUUACAGCAUUCACUAGACCAGUUAAAAAGUAAACAAGAGAAAGACCAACAGUGCUUUUGAGAUACAGGUAUUAAAAGGAGAGUGAUUUGAAAAUUAAAGCAUUAAGAGAGGCACUAGGGAAGCUUAAUGUAACUUUUGAGUGUUUUGAAAACAAAACCUUUAUGAUUGGCCUGUGAAAAUCAAAUGACUUUGAAUUGGGCUAGCAUACAAUUUUUUGGAAAAAAUUUUGCCACAAAGACAACAUUUAAUUUGCUCUUUUUAUGUUCUAAGAAUAAGCACAUAGUUUUUAUUAUAAUCUGAAUUGUAUUACAUAUAAGAUAAACUAAAAGUUUUUCAAAAGAAUGUCCAAAUCAAGCUUUUUAUUCCCAUUAUUUUGUAAAACUUGGACUCUGUAUUAAAUGGAUUUACUUUGUAUGGCCUUGUCUGGUUAUCACUUAACCUUAUUUGAAUCUUGUACUUGAAUUCUAGUUCUUACUCAUUUUAGAAGAUUUAUGAAAUCUUACUACUUUGUGAAUUCACCCAUUCUUCAUUCCCUUCGCUAUAUUGGACUUUGCUAAAUAUCUGGAAAGUGUAUCUUAUUGGCUUCAUGUACAUGGCAUGUUUUCCUGGAAAAGUUUUAUUUAAUCUGUGUACAAUGCCUAUAGUGGGUAGAAAGCAUUGUAAAAUUAGUUUAUCUUUGCUCUGUCUGGAAGUAAAUAGAUAAGUAUGUUUUGUUCUUUUGUGAUUAGCAUAUUGGCAUAUAUGUUGAAUGCCUACUUAUAUUUCUGAAAUUAGAUUUUUCAGUUUUCCAACUUGGAAAAUCUAUAUGCAGUUAUAGGAAUCCUUUUUUGCAAAGUCAUCAUCUCAUGAUAUGAAACCAUAUUAGUAUUUUUUUAGCCCUUUAAUGAGAAGUGGUAUAAGAAAUAUUUUGACAAGGAUUAUAGCCUAGAUUUUCCCAUGUUUGCUCUUUAUGUAUAAAGAAAAAUUUGUGAGUGGAUUACUUAUUAACUAUCUACCAUAGCCCAAUGGGGUAGACUUUGUUCAGAGAAUUGACCUUUGCUUAUAAAAGUUAAAUUUGUGGGCGGACCAUGCGGCUGGAGGUGUGACUAUCAGCCCAGGAGUGAGAGGGCGGAGGCAGCUCUUGCAAUCGAAAGGGACUUGAGACUCACCAGCCGCACGCCAUGAAGGCCCUGUGGGUGCUGGGCCUCUGCCGUGUCCUGCUGACCAUCGGGUCGGUCAGAGCUGAUGAUGAAGUUGAUGUGGAUGGUACAGUAGAAGAGGAUCUGGGUAAAAAUAGAGAAGGUUCAAGGACAGACGAUGAAGUAGUACAGAGAGAGGAAGAAGCUAUUCAGUUGAAUGAAUUAAAUGCAUCAUAAAUAAGAGUCCGAAAAGUUUGCCUUCCAAGCUGAAGUUAACAGAAUGAUGAAACUUCUCAUCAAUUCGUUGUAUGAAAAUAAAGAGAUUUUCCUGAGAGAACUGAUUCUGAGGCUUUAGAUAAGAUAAGGCUAAUAUCACUGACUGAUGAAAAUGCUCUUUCUGGAAAUGAGAAACUAACAGUCAAAAUUAAGUGCGAUAAGGUGAAGAAUCUGCUGUGUGUCACAGACACUGGUGUAGGAAUGACCAGAGAAGAGUUGGUUAAAAACUUUGGUACCAUUGCCACAUCUGGGACAAACAAGUUUUUAAACAAAAUGACUGAAGCACAGGAAGAUGGCCAGUCAACUUCCUGAAUUGAUUGGCCAGUUUGGCGUCGGUUUCUAUUCCACCUUCCUUGUAGCAGAUAAGGUUAUUUUCACUUCAAAACACAACAAUGAUACCCAGGACAUCUGGGAGUCCAACUCCAGUGAAUAUUCUGUAAUUGCUGACUCAAGAGGAGACACUCUAGGACGGGGAACAACAAUUACCCUUGUCUUAAAAGAAAAAGCAUUUGAUUACCUUGAAUUGGAUACAAUUAAAAAUCUUGUCAAAAAUAUUCACAGUUCGUAAACCUUCCUAUUUAUGUAUGGAGCAGCAAGACUGGAACUGCUGAGGAGCCCAUGAAGGAAGAAGCAGCAGCAAAAGAAGAGAAAGAAGAAUCUUAUGAUGAAGCUAUAGAAGAAGAAGAAAGAAAAGAAAAGAAACCGAAGACUAAAAAAGUUGAAAAACCUGUCUGUGAAUGGGAACUUAUGAAUGAUAUCAAACCAAUAUGGCAGAGACCAUCCAAAGGAGUAGAAGAUGAAUACAAAGCUUUCUGCAAAUCAUUUUCAAAGGAAAGUGAUGACACUGUGGCUUAUAUCCACUUUACUGCUGAAGGGGAAGUUACCUUCAAAUCAAUUUCAUUUGUACCCACAUUUGUUCCACGUGGCCUAUUUGACACAUAUGGAUCUAAAAAGAGCAAUUACAUUAAGCUCUAUGUGCGCUGCGGAUUCAUCACAGAUGACUUCCAUGUUAUGGUGCCUAAGUACGUUAAUUUUGUCAAGGGUGUGGUGGACUCAGAUGGUCUCUUUGAAUGUUUCCUGCAAGACUCUUCAGCAACAUAAACUGCUUAAGGUGAUUAGGAAGAAACUUGUCCGUAAAACUCUGCGCAUGAUCAAGAAGAUUGUUGAUGAGAAAUACAAUGAUACUUUUUGGAAAGAAUUUGGUACCAACAUUAAGCUUGGCGUGAUUGAAGACCACUCGAAUCGAACACAUCUUGCUAAACUUCUUAAGUUCCAGUUUUCUCAUCAUCCAACCGACAUUGCUAGCCUACACCAGUAUGUGGAAAGAAUGAAGGAAAAACAAGACAAAAUCUACCUCAUGGCUGGGUCCAGCAGAAAAGAGGCUGAAUCUUCUCCAUUUGUUUAGCGACUUCUGAAAAAGGGCUAUGAAGUUAUUUACUUCACAGAACCUGUGGAUGAAUACUGCAUUCAGGCCCUUCCCGAAUUUGAUGGGAAGAGGUUCCAGAAUGUUGCCAAGGAAGGAGUGAAGUUUGAUGAAAGUGAGAAAACUAAGGAGAGUCAUGAAGCAGUUGAGAAAGAAUUUGAGCCUCUGCUCAAUUGGAUGAAAGAUAAAGCCCUUAAGGGCAAGAUUGAAAAGGCUGUGGUAUCUCAGUGCCUGACAGAAUCUCCAUGUGCUUUGGUGGCCAGCCAGUACGGGUGGUCUGGCAACAUGGAGAGAAUCAUGAAAGCACAAGUGUACCAAACGGGCAAGGACAUCUCUACAAAUUACCAUGUGAGUCAGAAGAAAACAUUUGAAAUUAAUCCCAGACAUCCGCUGAUCAGAGACAUGCUUCAACGAAUUAAGGAAGAUGAAGAUGAUAAAACAGUUUUGGAUCUUGCUAUGGUUUUGUUUGAAACAGCAGUGCUCCAGUCAGGAUAUCUUUUACCAGACACUAAAGCAUAUGGACAUAGAAUAGAAAGAAUGCCUUGCCUCAGUUUGAACAUUGAUCCUGAUGCAAAGAUGGAAGAACCCAAAGAAGAACCUGAGGAGACAACAGAAGACGCAGAGCAAGACAAAGACAAAGAAAUGGAUAUGGGAACAGAUGAAGAACAAGAAACAGCAAAGGAAUCUACAGCUGAAAAAGAUGAAUUGUAAAUUAUACUCUCACUGUUUGGAUCCUGUGUGGAGAGGGAAUGUGAAAUUUAAGUCAUUUCUUUUGGGAGAGACUUGUUUUAGAUGCACCCCACCAGUCCCCUUCUCCCUGCACUGUUAAAUGUGGGAUUAUGGGUUACAGGAAGAAGUGGGUUUUUUAGUUGAAUUUUUUAAACAUAACUUAUUUGUACUAUUUAACUGACUAUUCUUGAUGUAAAAUCUUGUCAUGUGUAUAAAAAUAAAAAAGAUUCCCCCCCCACCAAAAGUUAAACUUUUGGUCUUGUCAUAGUUUCUCAGCUUCAGUUUUUUAUUUAUGAAAAUAAGAAUCUACUGUCCAGUAAAUUGAUGUUUAUAAUAGCUUAUGGUAAUACAUUUUAUUUCUCUGCAACCUUUUUAAUCAUCAAAGAUUAAAUUGUUGUGUAUGUUUAUAAUUAUGUAUAUAUUUUACUUUAAUUGUUUUCUCUUAGCUGGAAUAUUUGAUUUAUGUAUAUCAAAGAACUUUGUAAACUAUAAAGUGCUGUACAGAUAUGAGGAGAUGGUGGGAAUAGUAGCAGUCAUCCCAAAGCCUGCGCAUUGCCUGAUUAUAUCAGAUACAUGACAGCUUACAGCGCAGUUUUUGAAAACAGGUAAAACAUUACUUUUCCUAGAGUGCUCAAAACUAGUAGUGAUUCUUAGGGCUUUUGGAAUAUUUGCUGAUGUUAAAAUACAGUUCCUAAAAGAGAGUAAUAUGUGCAGUUUUAUUUACAACUGCAAUACUGUCCAAAACUGGGGAAAACAUUAUUGAAAAUGUAUAGUAUCUCGAAUAUAUUAUUGCUUAAUUGGCCUUUUACUUACGGAUUUUAAACAAGCUUGAGAAUCUGUCAGUCACUUCCAUGUUCAUGUUGUUUUAGUGUUUCUUAACAUUGUUUUUUUUGUUUCCUGUUAACAUUUUUGCAUGUGUGUUAAACGCCUUCUCUCAGCAUUUUCCUCCUUUCCUCUCCCACCCCUCAGCAUAUUAGGCCUCUUGCUGAGAAUAGAAGUUGUCGCUAAUACACAACCUCUACCCUUCUCCCUUUUGCCCCUUAGUUGCUCAGAGCCAUGUAGUGGCUUGUAUUUGUAGGAUGAUUGCAUGGCAAAAGUCCAGAACUUGGCGAGUGCUCAUAUUUAGAACUAAAGCACAAGAAAAAGCCUUUUUGCACAUUUAAAAGAAUAAACUUUGCAAUUACAAAA